rnacentral:rRNA from 1 species
AGUGAACGCUGGCGGUAGGCCUAACACAUGCAAGUCGAACGGCAGCACAGUAAGAGCUUGCUCUUACGGGUGGCGAGUGGCGGACGGGUGAGGAAUACAUCGGAAUCUACUUUUUCGUGGGUGAUAACGUAGGGAAACUUACGCUAAUACCUCAUACGACCUACGGGUGAAAGCAGGGGAUCUUCGGACCUUGCGCGAUUGAAUGAGCCGAUGUCGGAUUAGCUAGUUGGCGGGGUAAAGGCCCACCAAGGCGACGAUCCGUAGCUGGUCUGAGAGGAUGAUCAGCCACACUGGAACUGAGACACGGUCAAGACUCCUACGGGAGGCAGCAGUGGGGAAUAUUGGACAAUGGGCGCAAGCCUGAUCCAGCCAUACCGCGUGGGUGAAGAAGGCCUUCGGGUUGUAAAGCCCUUUUGUUGGGAAAGAAAAGCAGCAGGUUAAUACCCCGCUGUUCUGACGGUACCCAAAGAAUAAGCGCCGGCUAACUUCGUG